rnacentral:rRNA from 1 species
UUUCCGAUGCACGCUGGCGUGCAGGCCUAACACAUGCAAGUCGAGCGGUAACAGGAAAGUAGCUUGCUACUUUGCUGACGAGCGGCGGACGGGUGAGUAAUGCCUGGGCAAUUUGCCCAUUCGAGGGGGAUAACAGUUGGAAACGACUGCUAAUACCGCAUACGCCCUACGGGGGAAAGGAGGGGACCUUCGGGCCUUCCGCGAAUGGAUAAGCCCAGGUGGGAUUAGCUAGUAGGUGAGGUAAUGGCUCACCUAGGCGACGAUCCCUAGCUGUUCUGAGAGGAUGAUCAGCCACACUGGGACUGAGACACGGCCCAGACUCCUACGGGAGGCAGCAGUGGGGAAUAUUGCACAAUGGGCGAAAGCCUGAUGCAGCCAUGCCGCGUGUGUGAAGAAGGCCUUCGGGUUGUAAAGCACUUUCAGCGAGGAGGAAAGGUUACUGCCUAAUAUCCAGUAGCUGUGACGUUACUCGCAGAAGAAGCACCGGCUAACUCCGUGCCAGCAGCCGCGGUAAUACGGAGGGUGCGAGCGUUAAUCGCAAUUACUGGGCGUAAAAGCGUGCGCCAGGCGGUUUGUUAAGCGAGAUGUGAAAGCCCCCCGGCUCACCCUGGGAACUGCAUUUUGAACUGGCAAACUAGAGUCUUGUAGAGGGGGGGCUGAAUUCCCAGGUGUUCCCGUGCAAUGC